CCUGCCUGAGGACAGGCAUUGCUGGAGGGGGCGCCUUGUCCUCCUGCCAAGACUCUUCAUGGAAUGAAGUUAUUUGGCAGAUGGUGGCUCGUGACACUUAACUGAUUGAAAAGUAAAUCUAGUAGCAAUUAGCUCUUAUAUUCUGCAUAAUCAUGAAUAGGAAAUUAUUUGUGGUUUUUAGUAUUAAUUGCUUGAUUUGUUGAAGAUGGCCUUGGCCUCCAGGGACCAAACAUGUUUUGCUUGAUGUAACGCUCAUGGCAGCCUCACGCAAAGGGCCUUCCAUCCUGGUCUUAGGGGAGACUGAGACUGGGAAAAGAAUGUCUUCCCAAGUUAGAUGAGCAGAAAGGGCCUGAGUUGGGGCUGGACACACCAGAGGCUCUGCUCUACUGUGUGGCUUCCUCCUUAGGCCCUGGGACAUGGCCUCAGUCGCCCCCUCAGCCACCUCAUCGGUGAAGCAGGGACGAUAGCCGUCUGACUUACCCGAGGCAGUGCCUGGAGACGGCUUGGUCCAGCUCAGGGGCCUGCAGAGAGGAGAUGCCCCACAGAAGGUUCACCCUUCCCUCCACAAAGACCAGUUUUCUCAGGAGUGUGUGUCGCCUCGUCUCCUGCGAGCAGGGGAUGAACCAAGUGUUUCACGGUUCAUGGGCCUUCAAACGGAGCCCUCAUUUCUCUUCCCAAAUUCCCACCUCCAGCCCUACCCCUAGACCAGUGGCUCUCCAGUGGUUUUGGUGGCGCUCUCUUACCAGACAGGAACUUACUGACAAGGCACCUCCGUGCCCACAUAUUCACCUGUAGCAUUUGUACGGGCAGUGCCCGUAAUUAGUAUGUUCAGAAUUAGAAAAAACCCCUGGAGCCAUUUUCUUGUGUACCCUCUAUCCUAGACAGCUCACUGGCACUGCUGGUCCCUGGCCAUCCCUGCUCCGAGGCUCCGGAACACUGUACUGUGAACGAGGUGCACGCCAACCCCCGCCCCUGUGUCUGCGGGAGCCGAGGCCAGAGCGCUGCAGCGACGGGCACAGGGUCACUCAGCUGGCAGCUGGUGGGCGCACCUUCAGACCGCUCCUUGCCAGGCCUGCUGCUGUGGCCGCCGGGUGGCCGAACUGCUGUGCGAAAGUUGAACAUCCUGCCACCCUAUGGAGAAGCUUUGCAACCACCUUCUGUACACACUGUGAGAGUCCCAGGCAAAAAGAAAGGAGCAGAGAGGAUAUUUGAAAAAAUAAUGGCCAAGAAUUUCCCAAGUUUUAUGAAAGAUACAAAUGUAAACAUACAAGAAUCUCAACGAGCUCCAGGUAAGAUGAAGUCAGAGACCCACACAAAAACAUGUUAUAAUGGCUGUCAAAAGCCAAGAGAAUCUGGAAAGCAGCAAGAGAAGAGAAAAGCAACUCUGCACACACAUGGGAUCCUCAGUAAGAUAAUGAGCAGAUUUCUCAUGAGAAACACCAGAGUCCAGAAGGCAAAGGGUUGAGCGUAACAAAGGCCAUACGUGAGUGAACGUCAUGUUCAGUGGUGAAAGAGUGAAAGUGCCUCCUUCAAGAUCAGGAAGAAGGCAAGGAUGCCUGCUUUCACCAGUGUAGUACUGGAUGUCCUCACCAGAGCAAUUAGGCAAGAAAAAGUAUGAUAAGAGGCAUCCAAAUUGGAUAGGAAGUAACAUAAUCUCCGUUCAUGAAUGAUAUGAUCUUAUAUGUAAAAAAUCCUAAAGAUUCCACAAAGGAACUUAAAACCGAUCAAUGCAGCAAAGUGCCAGGAUAAAAAAAUCACAUGAAAAUCGGUCUAUACUUUUUAUACACUAACAGUGAACAAUCUG
ensembl:lncRNA